rnacentral:rRNA from 1 species
UACAGAGGUCUCAAGCGUUGUUCGGAUUCAUUGGGCGUAAAGGGUGCGUAGGCGGCGCGGUAAGUCGGGUGUGAAAUCUCGGGGCUUAACUCCGAAACUGCAUUCGAUACUGCCGUGCUUAAGGGUUGGAGGGGGGACUGGAAUACUUGGUGGUAGCAGUGAAAUGCGUAGAUAUCAAGUGGAACACCAGUGGCGAAGGCGAGUCCCUGGACAACUCCUGACACUGAGGCACGAAAGCUAGGGGAGCAAACGGG